UUCUUGUGAUGAAUUCUACUUUGUGCCAUCGUGUCUGGGCCACUGAUACUUCAUGAUGGUAAAGAGGAUCUGAGGGG
rnacentral:snoRNA from 7 species